CGACACCGGGGAUCUUCUGCUUGAUCUUGUCCACCAAGCCCUCCUUGUGUUCGCCCUCCUUGUGUUCCCCGCCGUGAUGCUGCUGCUGAUGGUGAACAUCAGUAGUGCCGACACCGGGGAUCUGCUGCUUGAUCUUGUCCACCAAGCCCUCCUUGUGUUCGCCGCCGUGAUACUGCUGCUGAUGGUGGACAUCAGUAGUGUGGUGGUCCCCACUAUGGUGCUCUCCCUUGUGCUUGUCCUCCUCCUUUUGCCCUCCUCCCAUGUGAAGGGCUUCUCCGAUCUUGUGAAUAACUCCUGACAUUUUCCCUUAAAAUGACUCUGUUCCUCUUCUUUUCUUUUCAAUGAAAAAUAGUUGUUUGCGAUCUUCUUCUGGUUGUUGUUGUUCUUGUUGGGUGAUCUUGGCUUGGUAUUUAUAGGCUCCAAAAGGAGGGACUAGAAUUAGGAUUAGAUUAUAGAUUAUUUUAAUACAUUUUAUGGCAAAUUCUGAUUUGGAAAGAUAAGAUUAUCCUUUUGGUUUUCCUUAUUUACCCUUUUGCACCCAUUACGUGUACGCGUCUUCGUGGGCUUUUUGGGUAUUUCAAUUAUAUCGCCAAUGCUAAAUCGACACGUUGCAUAUCAGCCGCGGUACUGCCGUAUGUAGUUGUCCAGAAAUCGAGUCGAUUCUCGAUCGUACAAUAAUUAAAUAAUAUUUCAUACGAAAUGAGUUUAGAUAUAUUUUGAAAAUUUAUUUUUAAUUUAAUUAUACGUGUUAUAUAUUUGUUAAUCGAAUAGAGGUCCCACGUAACAGAGUGUUUCUCUAAUCUUUCAUUGCUUUUAAUUAAUUUUACCCAAAUAAAAAAAAAAAGGAAAAUUUAGAGAGAGAGAGAGAGAUAGCGAAUUAGAAGUUGAUUGUAAUAUCGACACCUGUCAGACAAUCAAAUAUCGUUAGUUAAAAAUCAGUUGUCCAUAGUCAUGGUCAUAGAUGGCGAAAUUGAUACUUAUUUUAAAAAACAAAACAAAACAAAACGAAACGAAACUAAACUAACAGAUGUUGAAAUGCAGUUCCGUGUUAACAGUCUGUGAUGAAUCUUUAUCUUUGAGUAUACCAUUCAAGAAAUUAUCAUUCAAAAAUUUAUUUAAAGCAGCAGCAAAUCACCUUCUAAUUCCUGAAUCAAAUUAAUUCGAUUUUUUUCGAGUCGAUCAAUUCAUUAGAGAAUUAACGGGCUAAGUUAAAGUUUUGUUAGUUAUUUUUUUUUAUAUUCCUUUAGAUGAUAUGAUUGUCAUUGUCUUUCUUUCUCUGGGCAACAAUAAAUACAAGAUGUGCAAAAGCGUAGUGGAACAUAAUUCGAUUAUGGGUAAAGGGAUCAGUCCGCAUAAUGAGGAUAAAGUUUUUCUCUUUAAAAAAAUUUAACCCAAAGAAAAGGUCGUAGUUUGUAAUAGCCGACACGCAGAUAGAUCACAAAGCAUGGCGGUCCUGAUGGCAAUAACUAACUGAUAUCUUCUGCGAUGAGAGGAGAUCACGUGGUUCUGACACGUAUCGCCCCAUCAACUGAUGUUGUGGCUGCAAUCGCGGCCCAGUCUUUAGAGAGAAGAAAGAUCUGUUAUAACGGGACCUACUUUAGCAUCUAUUUACGACAAAGCCCCUAUUUACUCUACUUAGUAGUAAUAAUAGCAAGUGUCGGGCUUGGAUUCCGUGUUGCUUUAAAUAAAUAUCCGCGUAAAAAGAAAAUGCUUCUUUAAUCCCUUCCUUGUAAUUUUUCGACACGUGGAUGGUUGAAAUUAGCGUGCCGACAUCUUAGGAAUUUUAUCUUGGAGACGGGAACACUGCAGUAGGCAAUGCCAUUUUCUUCGGAUGGUGUGUGGUGACAACGCCUUGGAUUUUGACGUGCAAAGAAUUUAAAUUGAAAAAGAAAAAAAGAAAUUACCAGAAUAAGCAUAGAAGAGAUAUUUUUCUUUUUGUCCUUUUUGGAAUGGAAAAAGAGAUCAAGAGAUUGUUCCAGUAAGUAUUACACAUGUCACAGGCUUAUUCAUGCCCCAUUAUGGCAACUUUUAUGCCUCGCGGUGCCCUCGGUUCCAGCAUAAUAGCUAAGACUUCAAUUUUUCUAACAUAUUUUUGUUACAAAUAUGAACGGAGUAAAUGUAUAACUUUAAUCCUUUGAAUAAAGAAAUGGCGGUUCUCCUGCUCGUUAAUCUCACUUGAAUCCCACCCAGGCAAAAUUUCUUUAUUUUAUUUAACAACAAUUUAAAGAAAGAAACUUUUGCCAGGUUGAAUUUCAAGUGAGAUUCAUUCGUGGGAGAAGUGCCAUUUCUUUAUUCAAAAGAUUAUGGUAAUUACAACUUUCAAUUUCGACAUAAAUUAAAAUUAUAGGCUAUACAAUAAAAUUGCCCUAAAUUAGUCCUAAUCAAUUCAGAUUAUAAAUUUAGGUAUAUUUAUUAUUUUAAUAUAUUAAUGUUCUAUAUAUAUAUAUAUAUAUAUAUAUAUAUGUGUGUGUGUGUGUGUAUNNNNNNNNNNNNNNNNNNNNNNNNNNNNNNNNNNNNNNNNNNNNNNNNNNNNNNNNNNNNNNNNNNNNNNNNNNNNNNNNNNNNNNNNNNNNNNNNNNNNNNNNNNNNACAGCAGAAAAUAUUUGCUAUGGAUAAGGAGACAUGGUCCCACGUCCCACCGUCCCAAUGCAUAUUUUGUAUGUUUCCAUCUUUUCUGAAAUUUUAAUAAAUAAAGUUUUUUGACCACUUGGCCAAAGAACCUUACCCUUACACAACUUUGUGGUUGGAGUCCUGUGAUACAUGUAAGAACUUAUUUUUUUUCUUAAUUAUAAUAUUUUAGAAUAUAAUUAAGUGAAGUAGGUUUUUUUUUUAAAUAUGAGUAAAAUAGAUAUUUUUUAAAUAUUAAAGAGAGUAAAAUUUGAAUAAUAAUAUAUUAAAAUUAAUACAAACUAAUUUUAAUAAUUAUUUAAUUAUAAAUAUCAAUUAUAACAUCAUAUAAUAUCAAUUAUAAUAUCGUACAUCUCAAUUAAUUCAAUAAUAAUAAUAAUAAAUGUUUUUUGGGAUAAGUAAACAGUCGCAUGGCGACAAUAGUGGAUCUGGAUUAGAGUGAAGUGGUCCCAAGAGGCUGAGGCUGUGGCUGUGGAGUUCUAAAAGUCAAAAGCUCCACGCACUUUGUUUCAGUACCAUACACACUGAAAAAAUUUGCAUUUGCAAUGACGAAAACUUUUCACGAAAUCAAAACACCUCUAAACUAUUUUGUUAUCGAUAUUUAAUGGAGGGGUUUCCUACCUUUUUAACACUCGAUUCACGCCUUGACGCAUCUCACAGAAAACCUCAUGAUCCCAUUAAUCUUGCGUAACAUAUCUCAAAGCCAAUGCAAGUGAUCUUGUUGCCUACUUCCCUUUGACGAUUCAAAAUUGUUGAAAAUAAUUCUUUUUUUUUUUAACCUCAAGGAAGUGACAAAAUAUAAAAGAAUAUUUUCUACACAUUAAACAUCUAGAUUUUUUUUUCUUUUCUUUUUAGAGUACUUGCACAAACCGUUUCCAAGAGAGACCUUUUUUUUUUUUUUUUUUUUCCGGGCUUGGUUACUAAUUUGGUGUGAAUACUCUAUGGUGAAAAAGGAAUCACAAAGCUGUAAUCAAUUUUUUUGCAUCAUUUAGUUGUAACUUGAACAUUGGGAGGUUUAUAAAGAAUUAAAUUAAUUAUAAUGCCUCUACUAGGAAAAGUUCAGAGUAGCCCUUCACAACUUUUUAAAGGCUUAAUAAUUUUCGCUUUCUUCCUCUCAUAACAUAACAAAAAAUUAAGAGCUUUACUCGUACACGUCCUAUGGCUAUAUAGUAUUGGGUUCUCUACUUCAAUCGGCUAUCUCAAACCGAAGGUUAUUUGGACACACCAGCAGUCACGUUUGGAAACUCUCAAAUGCUUGGAUUGUAAUUCUUGUGGAUGAGAUCAUCUAAAUCUUGGGCCCAAGCCGGACAAUGGGUGGACAAAGAACCCUAAAAUACAGUAAAGCUUCUAACACCCCACUAAAACUCUUAAGAAAUCCUACCUUUUAUUUUUAUAUCUCUUUCUUUUAGAAAUUAUAGAGAAGACAUAGCAUUUUAAUUAUUUUCCCUGCCAUUGAAAAUAAAUUCUGUAAACAUAUUUUUUCAUAAUAAAAUUAUUGUUAUUAGAUAAUUUAUUUCUUCAUUGUUUCAAAAUUAUUAUAAUUUUAUCAACAAAAUUAGUUAUGUCAUAUAUUAGGAUUAAAAUUAAUUAGGAUCCAUAACUUGUAAAGACAUUUUAGUUUAAUUGAAUUCAUAUUUGUCAUUUUAUGUAAUUUUCAAUAAAAAUACGACUAUGAGUGCAAAAGUGGGAUGACAUAAUAUUAAAAGAGUGUGAAAUAAUCGGUAAUUGAAAUGGAUUGAAAUCAUAAUAGAGUAUGAAAAUCAGAAUAAAUUGUUUACUUUAGUUGUAGAAAUCAAAAUUAAAAUAAACCAUAUUAUCAUUGAUGUAUAUAUGUUUUCUUGUAAUCGAAAUGAAUUCUUAUAAGUUACUAUAAGACCCUUAUGGUGUGUUUACUAAUCAGAAAUCAGAAUGGAGUGGAAUUUGAAUAUAGAAUGGUAGGGGUAUUCGCGGAUCGGAUUUUACGGAUUGGACAUUAAUUCAUAUCCGAUCCAUAAUUUUACGGAUUAUAAAUUCUCAACACAAUCCAAAUCCAAUCUAUAUGUUUGCAGAUCGGAUGCGGAUUUGACUCAAUUCAUAUCCAAUCCACUAUUUGACGGAUUGAUUUUGGAAUUAAAAAUUUUUAAUUUUGUCCAAUCUAUGAGGUAAUUAAAUUUAAAAAUCUAAUAUAAAAAUAAUUUAUUAAAUAAAAAAUUAACGUAAAAAUAAUUUUACUACCAAUUAAAUUCAAAAUUGAACAAGAUUUAAAUAAAUUAAUUAUUUAAAUAAAACUAGAAUAAUUUAUUUAAAAUUUUUAAAUAUAACAUAUCGAAAAAAAAUUCAUUUGUUUAGAUUAAUAUAUGAAAAUUAACUAAAAUUAUGAAUUUAAAUGUUGAAAUUUGAGAGCUUGGAUGUAACAGGAAGAAAUUAAGAAACUUGAAGAACUUGAAAAGAAAGUAACAAAUUAAGCUUAACUACCUCUAAUGGUGAAGUGAAACAGUGAUGGUUUGUGCGUGCAAUGGGGUACAAAUUUGGCAUUAUAUGCCAAAAUAUUUUGUUUGGCUUUAGAAUUUUUAAUGUUUAGGAAGCUAUAUUUGUUUAUUUAAUUACUCAAAUAUUUAAUUAUUUUUUAUUUUAUGUUAUUAUUGAAUAAGAUAUAAUAUUGUGUUAAUUUAGCUAUACUUUAAUUAAUUAAUUAAUUUAUUAGUAAGUAGCAUUGCUACAUUUAUAAGUUUUAUUUUUUAUUAAAUAAAUACUUUUUUUUUUCAGAUUCACGAAUUUUUACGGAUUUACAGAAAUAAAUCCAUAUCUAAUCCAUCGACUGUGGUUUUUUAAAUUUUCAUUCCAAUCCGAUCUACCAAUCCACAAAUUAUAUUUUUACGGAUCGGACGAAUUGAGCGGAUCAAAUUGGGUUCUGAACACCCCUAGAGAAUGAGAAUCAAAAUAAAUUAUUUACUUUAGUUGUGUGAAUCGGAAUUGGAAUAAAUUGUACUGUCAUUGAUGUGUUUACUUUAUCUUGGAAUCAGAAUGAAUAAUUUCAAAUUACUAAACUGACCUUAAUUUUUUAUUGUAAUAAUAAUAGUAGUAGUAGUAGUAAUAGUAGUAAUUUUCUAUUAUUAUUAUUAUUUUCUCUCUCUUUUGUUUUUAUUUUUUUAUUUUUCUCUUCUUCUUCUCUUCCUCUUUUUUUAUUUUUCUCUAAUUCAUCGAUACUUCUUCUUCUUCUUUUUUCUUUCGUUUUUAUUUUUAAUUUUUCCCUUCUUUAUCGUUCCUUCUUCUCCGUCCAUUCUCUAUCUUCAAACUCUUUUUACUUUUUCUCUUAUUCUUCAUUACUUCUUCUCCCUUUUUUUUUUUUUUCUCUUCUUUAUUAAUUCUUCUUCUUCUGCGUCUAUUCUUCAUCUUCAAAUUAUCAAGUGAAAAAUACCCACGGUGCCUUACAAGAAGAAUUGGUUUUGUUUGCUUCAAUUAUUUUUUGUAUUUUGUACUUUUGAUUGUUUCAAAAGAGGAUAAACUUGUAAUAAUGCAAUUUAAGUAGGGAUGUUUUAGACAAUUUUGGGUAUGAGAGUCUAAUUCCCAACCCCCCACUCCCUCGUAGCAGACUCCCAUUCUUCAUUCCUAACUUGGUGUUGGACCUACUAAAAUAAAUCCCAUUCCCCUUCUUAUUUCAAGAAGCAAACACGAUUUUGAUUUCAAUUCCCCAAUCCGAAAGUAAACGCACAAAAAUUGUACCCAUAUGAGAUUGCUUAUCCUCGAGUUUUUAGAUUGAAAAAAAAAAAGGAAAAAAGAAUGGCCCCAUUAGGAAGGGAUUUUAAGUGUUAGAUAAAGCCGGUGUUAACCAUUAGAAGGUCUCCGACCUUCAACUGUAAUAUAUUAAACCCAGAUAAAUUUACAUAUAAAUCACACAAACCAACAUGCCAAUCAAAUAAAUUACAUCAACUAACAACAAUUGACACAUUAAUUUUCAUAAUACAGAGGAUGCAGAAAAUUAAAAUGUUUUAUCUUUUCUCCUUAUUUGUGAAUUGGAAAAUGAAAAUGUUAAACAUACAGAAGAGUGAAACAGGAUGGAUAUAUAUACACACACACACACACACAGCUUUGGAGUUCAAUGUCAUCGUAUUGCUCCAAGAAGAUUGGCGCCAUCAAGCUUUGCACCUUCCAGAUGCUGUUUAAUCAUCACCAUAACACCUUCAGUAGACAUUAAUACAUAAUAGAAACACAAAAUUCACAUGAUCUGAAUGUCUGGUCUAUUUUACUUACCGUAUCUCGAAGAUUUACGUGCCGUAAAUAAGCUCUUUGAAGGUUGGCACCCUUUAAAUUGGCAUUACGUAGCUUUGCACCCUGCCGCAUAAAUGUUCGAAGUUUCAACAAAUUAAAGUCUCCUGAGAAAUACAUGUCACGAAAAAGUAGGGCUGAAACUUGCAUCUAAUGUACAAGAUUCAAUCAGGGGUGCUUGUCCCACAGUGAAAGUGUAUGGGGGAAAGUGCACUUUCACAAACCAAAGGGGCAAGAUGUGAUUAUCACACGAUUACAAAAGGACUGUAGUCAAGAGAGAGAACUGAACAUGCAGCUUGUAUUGAGGCCAUGAAAAUUGAUGAAAAGCAGUAACAAGCAACCAUUUUGAAAACACUUCAUAUGGUCGAAUCAAUAAAUCAAAGCUAAAAUGAUGUUGACGAUCGAUAGCUUUUAGGUGAUAAGAGUCUUGGCACUACAGUUAAAAUUAUUAUCUAGGAGUGCACACAUUAAUAAAAAAAAACACAACCAAUAAGCAUGCACUCUUAAUCAGCAUAUAAAUUAACAAGUUAGUUGCACCUUAUGUUGUUCCACAAACAGAUUGCUCGAACAAUUCACAAUCUUACCUUCAAAUUAGCUCCUUCCAAAUUAGCUCCCUCUAGGUUGGCAUUAGUAAGAUCAGCAGUCUGAAAAGUCAAGAGGACAAACAGAUUGCAAUUUGAUUAAAAUCUCAAAGUAGCAACAUUCUGCAUGAAAGAAGAGCAGCACAAUUGGCAACAUACAUUUUAGAUUAAGAGGAUGGGAUAAAAGCAAAAUUACAAGGACAUGAAGCAAAUGAGCCAUGUUUAGUAUGGCAAUUUUGACCCAAUAAUUGUGGCAGGUCUUGGAGAUAACAUAGGCAUACACAUAAGGCAGAAGCAAAUACUGUCGCAAACUCCUAGCUAACUACAAAUGUUCCAUAUAGAAAAAAACACCUGCAAAAGUAAGGGAAAAAGCAACAGAUAAAGAACUCAAGAUGCUAGACCUGUAAGUGUGCAGAUCGCAGGUCUGCUCCACAGAAGCUGCAGUCUAUCAAGCAAGCAUCUGCAAUGAUUUAAGAUAAAUUUGAAUCCAAAUGACAUUUUACCGCAAGUAGUUCCAGCCAUUUUGGGAACAAACAAGAAAUGCUAUUUUGUAUUCAUUGUAAUUCCUUAAGCUAAAUAACAAUCAUGUGCUAUCUUAACCAAGGUACAGUUGCAAAUUCUGAAAUUGUGAUGCCAUAGGUUGUUCUUAAUCUUUUUGAACUGAAUAUUGAAAAAAUAUUCCUUCAAUCAUAAAUGUUAAAUAAUUAAAAGAACUGUGAGGGGGGNNNNNNNNNNNNNNNNNNNNNNNNNNNNNNNNNNNNNNNNNNNNNNNNNNNNNNNNNNNNNNNNNNNNNNNNNNNNNNNNNNNNNNNNNNNNNNNNNNNNNNNNNNNNNNNNNNGGGGGGGGGGGGGGGGGAAUGAAUAAGCGGAUGCAUACAGAAAAUUAUGGAAAAUCUGUUAUGGAAAUAAUAUGAAAAUGGGUAUGCAUAACUACAUACUGAAUCUUGACUAAUUUCAAUUUAAUUCAGAUAAGAAAUUCCAGUAUGGGAAUUGCCUUGUAAAUUUGCACUCUGAAGAUUUGCACCAGCUAGUAAAGCUCCACGAAGGUUUGCCCCAGCAAAUUCACAUCUUCCCUAGGCAAGAUAAAACCCUUAAAAGGCAAUUUUGAAAAAUACAUAUAAUUGGGAGAAUAUCCAGUAUUGCUUUGACUCUCUUACUCACGCAAAGUUGCAUUGUGAAAAAUGGAACCCUCAGCAUCCACAUCCUGUAUCAAGAACAGACAGAUUCAGUAUGAUUAAUAUAACUGGUUGCUGGAAGACAGGACAAAAUCGCAUCUUGUCACUGUCAACUUGCAUGUUAAGAAUUAAACACGAAAACUGCAUGCUGUCCAAUUAUAAGAAACCUAUAAAAUUCAAAUCAACAUCAAUACUGGCUUAAGGAAGAUAUAAAAAUAAAAAUUAUACCAACCCGAAAUUUCGCAGAUUGAAGAUUUGCACGUGAGAAGAAAACAUUUCUAAGACACGCAUAGCUGAAGUCCACAAGUGAAAGAUCCUGGCCAUUUUAAUAAGAUAGCAUCAGAGGAAACAAUAUCUAAUGAAUAUAUAAUGUUCUUUCUUGCUUAUCUGAGAAUACUAAUGAGAUUAUCAAAAAAACUCUAAGCUACUGCUAAGAAGUCUUGUGUUACAUGAGUAUGAAUUGAGGAGGUAAAGAAGACCCUUCUCCAAUAAGUUACCAUAGAAGCCACAUAAAACCCUAAAGCAGUUACAAACUUACAAUGACCAGAAUAAACCACCCCAACUAUCUAUUGGCAAGUAAAAUCACUUCUCUGGAUUUCUGAAAACUAGCAAAACAAAUGCAUAAAUUGGCAAAUUCGAUGAUUUCCUCUGAAAACCAAAUUAUAGCAGACAUAAAACUUGGAAGUAUUCAUAGAAUAAAAAUCUUUCAAGCACCUCAAUUCAGUAAUUAUUACCAGCUUAGAAAGAUCAAGGCCAGAAAGAUUAAGUCCUCGAAAUCUGACUUUUUCAGACUGUAUACACUUGAUGAUAUCAAUGCGUGUUAGCUCAGUAUCUAACUCAUUAUCUUCCUUUCUCUUAUUUAUGACAGCAUGGAUUCUCUCAAUUAGUCCCUGAAAUGAAACACAUUAGAUGCAAACUAUUAUUUGAAAAAAGAAAUACAUUUUAUCCACUAACACACAUGGAUUUCAACAGCAAUCAUACAAUAAUUGAGGAAGGACGGUCAUAUCAGACUCAUCUGCCAAGAUUCAAUAAGCACAUCAAACUUGUUUACAUGUAAUUUCCACAUUCCACGUGAAUUUAUAAGGUCUGCCUAAGCAAACCAAAGAAGGCUACACUCAGUACUGUGUGUAUACUGCCUUACCUUUGCUGUUCCCCAGAUACCGUCCUGCAAUCCAGAUACUUAGCUGUGAAGUUUCAAGCCAGCGAAACCAUUUUAAAAGUACACAUGGACACAGAUACCAUUAUCUGAAUCAUCUUCGAUAACAAAUUAAAAUGCCCUAGCGUUCAAAAAACUUAGGAUCUCUUUAAGUGAAGUUCCUUUAAAAAAGUAGAAAAAAACUGAACAACAAUGUCAUGCUAAUAAAAGGUAAAAAAAAUAAAAUAAAAUAAAGCAUAAGGACAGAAGUUCACCAGGAGCAUGCCAGUAUAAACCAAAACGACCACAAAUCUCAACCAUAAAAUUUAAAGUAGUAAAGUAAAUAAUCAAGGGCAUGCAGUUGGCACAGGUGCUUCCAAAUAAAAUGAUGAUUCUUUUCAAACAGAAAAAAGAAAUGGAUGUUAAUAAACUAGAAGAAACCAUGUCUUACAAGUAAUUGAUAAUAUUCUGCUUCCCGUAGAAGCUCUAAAAACUCUGACUCUGUUAAUGUGGGGACAGCCCCAUCCCUUAACCAAUUCAGAAUAUGCCGAAAAUGUUUUCCGUCCCUAUCAACAAAGAUAUAGCCCUGCAAUAAUUCAAUAUGCUCAAAGAUAAGAAUCUGAAUAAUAUACCCAAGAGAAGUGCUUUUCCCUGGAAUAAUAAAAAGAAAAUAAGUCAAAACGUUUUUCUUAAUGGAAGAACACAAAGGAACAGCUCUAUGACUAACAUGAAAACCAUAAAUCAGAAUAAGAACCCAAAACUGGUCAUUUGGAGUUUCACCAGAUCAAAAAGAUCACAUGGAAAUAAAAUUGUGAAAAUGGGAUUAUUUAUGCCGAGGUCAUGGCUAAACUGCAAUCAUUACUCCAUUUUUGGUAGAAGGAGAAGAAGAAAGAAGAGUAGGUGAGUCAUCAUUCUUUCAGGUGAGUCAUCAUUCUUUCUCUGUGAUUAAUUGAUAUGAUGGAAGUGUUGUAGAUAUUAAUUUGAUAGUGAUUCCUCCCUUCAAAAGAAUUCAUUCCUUUUUUUAUUAUUUCACAAAGUUUAACUAAGACUGAGUUUUCUCAAUUUGAAGGCAUCGUGCACUCUACCCCUUUCUUUUCCUCACAUUGCUUCUUCCCAAUCCCAAAGGGAAGAAAUCAAGAAACAAUUACAAUUUUUAACUAUUCACCAGCAAAAACAAGGCAAAGAAAGAUGCUGAGUGUAAGCAAAAAUAAGAGAGUUAUACACCUCAGAGUCUUGGCACACAGUAUGGCGACCGCUGAACAUAGCUGCAAGCAUAGAUUCAGGCUCACGACGAGUCAGAGUAUCAAUUGUUGUAUAAAAUUUCUUUCCCCCUGGAUAUUAAUACAUAAAAUAUAAAUUUGUUCACUUAAAAGCAUGAAUUGUGCAAAUUUGUCAAUAAUGUCAUUCUUUCACAAACGUUCACCGAAAUGUAUAACAAUAAGUGCAUCAUAACAUAACUAAACGGCUUAAGAACUGCGCAGAUAUUACAUACAGUAGAGAAACAAGAAAUAGAAAAUGAGAUUUGCCCUUUUUAAACAGAAAGCAAUCAAAGAGUAAACUAAAGAGCUAAUAAUUCACAAAAUUCAGUUGAUUAAACUCAUUUACAAGUAAUUAGCAACAAAAUCCAAGCUAAAUAAAAAUAAUGAAAAUUAGGUUCUUAUAACAUCCGUCAAUUCUAUGAAAGUUUACCACGAUCAGCAACAAAUAGAUAAAUCGCAAUAAAGAAAAACCGACGACAUGUCGGUUGUGUAGUGCAUAAGUAAAGGAAUUUGCAGAUGAUGUAAAGAGAAUGAGGGAUAGUAACUGACCGAUGUUGAGACGAACCAUUGAAGACGAAUCGGAGUCCUUCGCCAUUGUCGAGUGUAAUGACUUGUCGUCUUACUUGCGCUCAUAGGUAUUUAUAUCAUAGCUGACACUGUUCGAAGGACAGCAAGGAUUUGGUGGGCACAAAUGCAUUUUGGAAAUUGGGCUUCGGCCCAAGAAAUCGAAAAUCAGAGGCUUUUUUUUAAAAAAAAUUUAAAAGGAUUAGAAUGUCUAUAAAUUAAUAGGGCUGAGACCAUCUUAAAUCUAUUAAGUAAAAGAGAUAUUAAAUAUUUUAUUAAUUAAUAAUUUAUUAAUUUACAGAAUUAUUUAUAAUUCAAUUAACAUACAUUUAAUAACUAAACAUUCAAUGUACAUAAUUUCUGAUUACAAUUCAAAGCACUAACAAUACUUCAUAAUUUCUUAUUACAAUUCAAGAAUUCAACCUCAUAGCUUUUAGAUGCAAUAAGAAAAAUAAGAAAUAAGAUUCAGUUAUAUUUAAAUUUUAAGAAAAAAACAAUAAAAUCAUAUUUUAUGUAAUUAAAAUAUCAUAGUCAACUACAUUUGUAAUUUCAACAAAUUAUUACUCUAUGAUUUAAAUGAGACCACAAAGUUAUAUAAGAUUUUAUCGAAAUUAUUAAUUUAAUCCAUUAGUCCAUGUCAAGACCUUGAAAAUUUAAUAAUUAUAUAAUAGAGAUUAUUAAUUUAUCGAGUAUUAAUUUAUAGAAGUUCUGAUUGUAUAUUAUUUUAUAUUAAUAAAGAAUAAAGUAGCAUUCUUUUUUAAUUCCGAAGUAAUAAAAUUAUGGCUAAAUUAAGAGAGUAGAUAUAUUUUAUAACUUGGUUUAAUAACAUCACGCGCCUCCCUUGUAGUUUUGCAGCUUUGAAGCUUUAUAAUGAAUCCUAUUAGCUUUGGCUGGAAAGUUAUAUUGUUAAAGAGAGUUUAUAUAUUAAACAAGGUGAUCUAAUAUUUCCAAAACUAAAUUUGGGAUCAAAAAUAGAAAACAUUUGCAUGUUUUUACCUUUUGGAAGAAUUACUUGAUAAGUGCUUCACAGAAAAAUGCUUGCUAUUAUAGAGCACCCUAAAAAAAAUCCUUAAUAAUUGAGGGAUCAUAAUAAAGUUCAAUUCUAAAUCUGUCAGAUAGAUCGAAAGUAACAAACCAUAUAUAUUUAAAUCUAUUUAGUAAUCCAGGGUUACAAGCCAAGCGUGCAAUAGCCAAUUCUGAAAAUCAAAGCUCAGCCUAUGCUCUCUGAGCACAAAUAAGAUCUGAUAUAUACAUAUCGAAUCCUCCAUUAUGUGGAGUGAAAUUUCCAUCGUGUACGGUGUACCUAACAAUGAGAAAGCAUGGCAGCAUAAAUUCAUCUUCCAUGUUAUUCUACUUAUUAGUACUGGUUCCCUCAUAACUUCUCCAAAUCGGGGAGGUCUGCAAUGUGUAAAGCACGUAAUCAGAUAAAAGAAAGAGAGCCAAAAAAAAAAAAAAAGGUAACAGCCAAAAGAUUAAAUUUCUUUGAGAAAUAGAAAAUGGGAGCUUUUGGCAUAGGCACAGAAUAGAAAGUAACAGAGUCAUUUACAGUUGUUCAGAAUAUGCAAGCUGAAAACAACUUUGAAUGCAAUGGACAAUUCCUCCAACAAACAAUCGAAUUGGAUUGUGGAAGAGACAAAAGCUUAAUGAGGUUAUGGUUUUGGCUAGGUGAACUCAAAAUUCUUUUAUAGACCAAGUAGGUAAAAACAAAUCCCAUAUAGAUGGAUGAACCUCAUACCAUGAACAGUUAAUCGCGAACACUUGCAGGCUUAUGCACACGACUAUGAAGAUACUAAGGGUUUCACCGAUGGUAAGUGAAAAAUAUAUGAUGUAUAAUUUAAAUGGAAGCACAUAGUUUCGGAUUGAAUUCAAGGUUAAAGUUCCACAGACAGACAGAAGAGAUGAAGCUUAAAAACUUACAGAGCAUUCCUUCAUCAUCACUGCUUUCAUCAUUUUGGCCAACAUGCUGAAAAAAGAAUAUGAUUCAAGUUAAAUGAUUGAGCAACAAUAAAAAACGUGCAAAAUUAAUGCUCUCUCCACAAAAAUUUCAGUCUAUAUUGGUAAGAAGAAACAGGAAGAAAAAAUUACCUCAGCAUCAUCGUCAUUGGAAGCCAAAUCAGCUGUAAAGACCACAAAAUGUUUGGUUAGAACCAGUGGAAGUCUUACUCUAAAAUUUUUAAUUUUUGAAUUUCGAAAGAUCUCGUAAUGACAAAGAUUUUCAUAUCCAGUGACCAAGUUUUGAAAAUUAGAAUACGGAAUGACAUCAACUAAAUUCACUAAUAUAAGCUAGAGGAAUCCCUAGUAGAUAUAGCGCACAUGCACACAUGAUAUGCAUCCGAAUACACAAUAAUAAAUUAUCUCAAAGUCAAUAAGAAGCCAAAAUUAGAGAUAAACUUUUAGCCACUAUAAGGAAGACUGAUAUUUGCAGUGUGAUUACAAUAAACAAACAGAAACUUCACUACCCAUAAGUAAAACAAAAUAAAUAAAGGAUAAUAACUAACCAAGAAAUGGAAAAGCUCACAUUCUCUGAACACGCACCCCAAAAAGAAAGAAAGAAAUAAAUGUUCUCAUUGGAUCUGAAGCACAAGCAAUCCACUGACAUCCUUCUAUAAUUAGGUAAUUUAAAGGGGUUAAGCUCACAUCUUUUACGGAAGUAAGAAGAGAAUUAACAACCUUCCAGAGGAUUUAGGGAAAUACCACGAGGCAAGAAAAAAGAAAUAUCCUUCUUCAAUCUAGAUAUCCUGAUACUGCUCACCAUCUACAACAGUCUGUGGCUUAAAAAGCAGGUCACUGAUCUCUCCCUCCCUCUGGCACCAUUUUCUCUCAUGUCUCAUUUUUCCCUUCCUGCCAACUCCCACUACAGUAUUGAAACCUAUUCUAUCAACUCUUCCCCCUCCAAUAACAAGACCAAAACCAAUUUUACUCGCCGGUUAGCUAGGUAGUAAAUGGAAAUUUGUGAAUCUGUCAUUCAUCCGUAGAAACAAACCAGAACUGCAUAAAUUCUCUUCUCUCCCAACAGCUUCUUUUCUCCAGAAAUAGGCACAAGUAUUUGACAUGGAAACAGUUUAUCUAACAUGGCCACCUUUAAAGACAAAGACAUACUAAGGACGUGGUUUUAGAUACGGAUACAAGAAACAAUCACAAAAUGUAAAAUCUAUACAUAUGAUAUUAAUUUCCAAUGGAUACAGCAAUUCAUUCUUUGACAUAACUUCAUCAGAUUACUAGGUUUGAUUAGGUUAUACACACAUUUAUUCAUUUAUUGAAUCUACAUGCACUUAGAAUGAGAGGUACCUAUAAAAACAAGUUACCAGAAAACAAUACAGCUAGAAAACAUUAAUCUAAGUAGUUCUAUAGGUUUAACUAACUGCAGGAAAAAACCAUUGAUUUUGUCCGCCAGAUUAUCGAGAUCCUAAUUCUGGUAAAAAGAAAAUGAGAUAAUAGAAAAUCAAAAAUUAAAUAGACACAAAAUGAGAAAUCAAGAUCAUAUGGCAACUAAUAUAUAGCAUGGGCUGCAGCUAACAAGCAAUAUAAGCCAUGAUAUUAUGCCAGAUACAAAUUUUGAGAUCCAAGAGAGAUCAAGAAGCAUGAAUACCACUAAAAUAUCGAAAGAAGUGAGUGCAGAAGGAUAAGAAAUCAGGUUGAUAUUCUUCAUACUUUGGAUCAACACGUAGUGAUGCAAUAAACUUGUAAUUAGCUUCAAAUGUAUAGGCUACCAUGUCAACAUUUCCGAAAACACACAAGAUUGUGCUGGAUUCAUACAUAGUACAUAUAUAAAAAAACAAUCUGCUUCUAAACUUCAUGAGAACAUCGAAUAAUGAACUUACAAUUUGAUCCCUCAUCAUCUUCAUCGCACCAUUUGUUCCAAUCAACCUUAAUGUAAGGUGCUGGUUUCUCUUCUGACUUGAGUAGCCUUUUCCACCAACCUUUCUCUUCUUUUUGGACCGAGCAUAUUAUGUUCCUUAAGCCAACUUUAGUCUUACAUUUCUGCACCACCAGCAACAAAACUCAAAGCAUUACAAAAGAGGUAUAUUUAGCCGCUCUUGACUCGAGUGAGAGAACAGGAUAAAUAGCCUAGGUAUAUCCACAUCCAUGUUAUGAGAUUGAUUAUGCAACAGCUAACUUUAAUAUAAAGCUUUUGCUUCAACAAAGACUAAAAUGUUUGUAAUUGUUAUGCUUUUGGAGCUAAAAUGUUUGGCAAACACCCACUUUUACUCUGCACCUAAUAUCUACCACCCACCCACACACUAAGUCUCUCGUUUGGUACAGCUAUUUAUCAGUAGUGGCUUUAAGCCACAACAUUUAAAGCGAAUUUACCCUAAAAUUUUACAAUGAAAAACCUAUACUACCUUUAACAUUGUUGUCAAAAUUAUUAUUAUAAGUAAUAUUUACCAAACACUAUCAACUUCCAAUUCAUAUCAAAGAGCUUUCACUCCACAAUAGCCGUGUCUUCUUAAGCCAGAACAACACAAUACCAAAGGCCUUAAGCUAGUGAUUUGAUUUCACAACAACUGCAGAUCAAGCCUCAAUCCCAAACAUACAUAAAUCAAAUGCAGAAAGCAAAAAUUUAACAAUAUGUUUGGUAUACUAAAUGUCUUUCAUAGUUUCAUUUCACAGGGUAUUUAGACAUGCAAUGAUAAAUUGGAGCAAUUUCAAGAACCGAAUUGACCUCAGGUAAAAUUUUGCCAAAAAGUUCCAAGCUGAAGUCGUAAAGCUCGCCUUGGACUCCGACGGCCGAGAAGCCAAAAAUCCCCUGAGGCUCGCAUUUCACAGAAAUGUCUUUCGCAUCGGGUAAUGAAAUGGUAAGGUAUACUUUAUCGGAGCGCUGAGCCCAAAGAACCUCCGGAUGGCGACUGAACAUAAAAGAAAUAAUAAUAAUAAUAAUAUUAUUAUUUUUUAUUGUGACAAUUUUGAACUAAUAAUUAGAGACAUUUAACAACAAUAUUGAUUAAUAUUGGAGAAGAAAAAUAAGGUUACAAGAGAGAAUCAGAAAGAUUACCUCAUUCUGGUGGAUGAUUGAAAACGGUGGGUCGAUUGAUGAACAGAAGUGUAACUGUCUGGGAGUGAGAGUGACUCUGCUGUUUACUGGGUAGAGUGUGCUUACUCGAAGAAAUUGAAAGUGAUAAUCUCGGGCAAGCCAACACGUCGAUUUGGUCAACAGUGGUCCAACAAACCAGGAACUAGGUUUUUUUUUUUAAAUGAUUUUUUUUUUCAGUAUUAUAUUGCCCCGCCCGUGGGCUAUUACAUUUUGGCCCUUUUGGGGACCCCUCGUUCUCUUACAAGAAGGGAAUAUUCUUUUCCAUCCACCGGUUUGUAGGCAGAGUACAUAUACUCUUCGAAAUUAAGGACAAAUUUCUGAAUCGUGCCGCAUUAGAAUUAAAUUGAGUCUCAAAAGAAUUUUGGUUAUAAGUAUAUCGUUCAAACGGUAAUAUAUUAAAAAAAAUAAUAUUUACUACAAUGUAGACCUAUCGGGACUUUGAAGCCCAGACCAAUUCUUGAGUCUAGCCUAAUAACACCUCAACAGAUCAAAAUUGAAAUCCAACUUAAAUUUCAAUAUUGUGUAGGGAUCUGCCUUAAUUUAGAUAUGUCAAGACCUGCCUUAGGCAUCAAAGUGAUCUAUCUUAACAUAACUAAGACUUUCUUUAAACAUCACAAUGAUUUAUCUUAACGUAGUCAAAUCUAGCCUAAAAAAAUCUAAAGAAGGAAAAAAGAAAUUAUUUUCACGUAUUGAGAGACUUAAAUUCUUAACCUUAUUCAUAAGAAAAAAAAGUGUAUUACUUAACUAAAUCGUGACUAAAAAUUAUAAUUAUUAUUUUUUGUACAUUUAGCUUUAAAAAAUCAUUAUAUAUAUAUAUUCAUAUAAGUUUUGACAUAAUAUACAUACCACUUAUUUGUUUUUUAAAUUAUACGAGAAUGAAAAAACUCAAGCAUUAAACACCAACUUUUGUUUCAUGCUAUCAAUCAACUUGAGAAAUUUUAUAAUAUAUCGGAAGUUCUACGUCACAAUUUAAUACGAAGCCUUCGAUUAAUAAUAAUUAGACACAUGACAAUAGAUGCUAGAGAAAUUUUAAAUUCCCUCUUUUCAUUAUCCCUCCAAAUUUAGAAUUUCAAAAAAUUAGAGAAUAAAUGUUGCUUGCUCUCUUUGUUAUCUAAUUCUAAUUAUUAUUUUUUUCUCUCUCUCUCCAAUCAAGUUGCUAGCAUUUUUUAAAUCUAUUGAAGAAUAAGAAGAAGGUUUUUGUCGAUGAAAUGAUUUUGGCAGCCUUUUUUACCCAAAGCUAACAUGAUUGCUGCGACUACCAAUGAAGAAAAAGAUGUGUUUUGCUGGCGAAGAAGAUGAUUUUUGAAGCAUGAGUGGCUGCCGUUUAUUUUUUUCCUUCAUAUUUUUCGAUGUAGUGGCUGUCCUCAAGUUUUAUUCAUUUACUUUUCAGUUGGCCUACUAUUUAUUGGCAUAAUGAAAAAUUUUAUUUUAAUAAGCAUUUAUAGAUUAAUUUGAGGAGGUUUCUUUUGCAAUAUUAGUGUGGUUUCUGCAUUGGUAUGAUUUAAAUUACGAACUUGCUACAAUCUUUAAUUAAACUGUCAAAAGUAAUUUAAAAAAUCUUUAAUUAAACCGUCAAAAGUAAUUUAAAAACUGACAGUAGAUAGAUUAGAGAUAGGCUUGACAAUUUAGCCCGACUCUAUUUUUAGUCUGAUUGAUCCGAUCCUAAUUUUUAAGACUUUGGCCUGAAUUUUUUGAUUUCGGGUCGGGUUCGGGUCAAAAUUUUAAGGCCCGAACAAAUUUAGGGUCAGGGUCGGACUUAAAACCAACCCGACCCGACCCUAUUUAAAAAAAAAAAAACUAACACACGCACACAACACAUGACAGUUCACUCUCUCUAAAUCGUAAAUCACACACACAAAAUACACUUACACAAAUUCACAAAAACCCUAAGCCAGCCACCCAGCCUGCUGCCGUCCUAUCAGCCAACAUCGUGACCGUCCGCCGCACGCCAGCCAAUCAGCCGUCGUCUCGUCGUCGCAUGUCUCACCAAUCAGCCAUCGUGACCGUCUGCGACGCUGCGACAUGAACUUGAACCAGCCGCCCUUUGUCGCCGUCCUGCCGCAUCCGCCUGCCAGCCAACGAUCAAUGCACACAGUUGAAUUGUGGGGUGGGAAAUGGUUUCGAUAGGGUCGGGCUCGACCCGACCCUAACUAUAAAGAGGUAGGGCUUUUUUAGGGUCGGGUUUUAAUUUUUUGUUGAUCGGGUCGGGUCGGGUUUGGCCAAACCCGAGCCCGACCCGACGUUUUGCCAUCCCUAAUUAGAGAUGAAGAUUGGAGAGAGAGAAAAAUAUAAUUUGAAUGAGAUAAUAAAGAGAGAAGAAAUUCUAUAAUACAUCAUAAGUAAUAUAACUCAUUGAUGUAUGCAUGAUAUAUGUAAUUAACCUUAAUAUAACUAACACUUGUAUGGUGAUAUUUCAAAAUAAAUAUACAUAUGUUAUAAAAUCAUUUACUUAUUGUAUGACUGACAUUUUAUUUUUGAUGUAUUGUACAAUUUCUCAGAAGAGAGUAGUAUUUAUUAUCUCUAAUUUUUUGAAAUUCUAAAUUUUGGAAGGAUAAUAGAAAGAGAAAUUUUAAAAAUUUUUCAACGUAUAAUGCCAUGUAUCUAAUUAUUAUUAGUCGGUGUUCCACGUUAAAACGUAAUAUAGAACCUCUGGACCUUACUGUAUAAUGUACUGUAGAAUUUCCUGAUCACACACUUUCUCAGUUGCAAAAGAGGUGGGCAUAUGAGUUCCUUACGGGGAUUUAGUGUGAAUCCACGCAAAGCCCAUAUAGAUUUUUCCGGUUAACCGCUAUGGCAUCCUAGUUUUAAACUCAGUACUAAAUUUACAGAUCCAUUUAAACCCCCCAAAUCAGUCUCUCACCGUCUCAAGUCUCAAACAAAAAACCUGACCGGAACCCAAACCGCCAAAUCCGAUUCGAUGGUGGACUGUGCUAAAACCCCUAAAAUUCCAAGACUGACAUGCGGUAAAGGAGAUGGUGAUAGACUUAGCAAUCUUCCGGAGCACAUCAUUUAUCACAUAUUCUCGUUCAUGGAAACAGUUGAUGUUGUUAGAGCAAGCACUGUUUCGCGAAGAUGGAGGUACUUGUGGCUUUCCGUUCCUUAUUUGAACUUCGACUAUCACACAAUUUGGUCAGACCCGGAAAGUAGAUGGUCUCGUAGGAAAAUCAAUGAUAAGUUCAAAGAUUUUGUCAACUGGGUAAUAUUUUCUCAAAAUGGGUCUGUUAAUAUUCAAAGAUUUCGUCUUUGCUGCUGGGAUUAUUUAGCAAGUUACGAUAACGAUAGAACGAUUUACAGAUGGGUUUCUGCUAUGGCACGUCGAAACGUGCAAGUGCUUGAUCUGGCUAUAGCUUCACUAUACCCAUUUGAGUUUGACUUGCCACAUAGUCUUGUAACUUGUGAUUCAUUGGUGGAACUGAAGUUGAGUUUGAGCUUUCAUGUUCACCGAUGUUUUUUAAAGCUGCCUACUGCUGCUGGUUUUAUUGGGCUCAAGUCUCUUGAUUUACAAAGUGUUGCGUUGGAUGAUAAUUUGUUUCCUGAAUUUAUUUCAAAUCUUCCCCUGCUUGAGAAUUUGUGUAUGUUGUCAUGUGUUUUUCCUGAAUUGAAGGUUCUUGACAUUUCUUCCACUAAUUUGAAGAAUUUGGCUCUGGAAUCCAUUGUUGGCAAUGAUAAUGCUGGCAAUGAUGAUGCUGGCAAUGAUGAUGCUGGCAACUACAAGCUUAAGAUUGCUUGUCCAAAUCUUGUGUCUUUUAAUUAUAUAGCUUUAGCUCCAUGGUUACCUCACUUUGCUUUUGAGAGCUUAAACUCCUUGCAAAAUGCAUUCAUUGACCUGGAUGAUUAUAACGAGGAUGACAUGGAGAACGAAAGAUGUCAUGUUUUAUCUACAAUCUUCAAUGACUUUCGUGAAGUUAAAGUUUUGAAAUUAUCAGAAGCCAUUCUUCUCGAGGUAUGAUUUCAAAUACAUUCAUUGCACCAAAUCAUGAUUCUGCCAGAACUUGUCUACACUUUUUUAUUUUGACAUUAGAAAUGAAGCUUAAGUAAACUGAAUCUACUUUCUUUGUUUGGUAAAAUAAGAAUUCUAUUGAUUAUGGAACCUUCCUAAAUGCUAAUUUGUUCUUUAGACUGUGUAUAAGUCAUUGUGACAUUGUAUGAAGUCUCAUUUAUCUGAGUAAUCAAUUGUUAUUGAUGUCAAAGACUAGAACUCAUUGGUGACUUGAGUUUAUGUAUAUUAUCGUUUGUUAGAUUUUUUGUGUGAUUAUUGCACUUAACUUGACUAAUGUAUUCUCUUUCUUUUUGCCAUUGUUCCUCCAGGUUCUUGAUCCUGAUCCUGCUCACGAAGAACCAGCAUUUUUUUCCACUUCAUUCAAUAAUUUGAAGUCCUUAAUACUUUCUGCAGGUCCGGGUGUAUGUCUCAUGCCAUCAAUGCUUAGGUUGCUCAACUGCUCUCCAAAUCUAGAAGCUCUUGCAAUAUAUUCUCCUAAGGUAAUCUUAACACCAAAAACUAUUCCAUUUGUUAGAUACCGUCGCUUCUAUCCAUUUUUUUUAAAAAUCAUAUCUCCCAUUUAUGUGCUAAAAUUUUAAUUUUGUUAAAGUGCAACUGGGCUUUGCUUAAAUUAUCGCAAUAGAGUUGAAACCUGAAAGUAUUUGUGAUAUAUUAUGUUUACCGCUUAGAGCUUAAAGUAAAUGUUAAUCUUGUGGCCUCUUGGUUGUUCCCAUGCUAUUGCUUGUUGAGCAGAUGGUUGAAUUUAGAGUCAAUCAAUCGGUUGUGUUCUUCUGAGGUUUGUGCAAGUUUUGUAAAAGAGCAAAGUUUAGUAUUUGUUUAGUUUGUGAAAAUGAUAUAGCUUUUUCUAAUUCAUCUUACUCUAUUCUUUGCUUAAAAAUGAAUUCUCCUUUUGAUUUGAUUCCUUGACUGCAUUUCGGUCUGUUUUCUCUUGGCAGCAUCGGCGUGGAUAUAAUGCUUAUAGGAAAACACCGAACAAGGCUGCUAUUUCAUGUUUGACAAAUCAUCUCAAGACAGUUGAAAUAAAACAUUUUAGCGGUGAUAUGAAUCAACUUGAAAUUGUGAGGUUUCUUCUAAGGAAUGGACAUGUAUUGCAGAGAAUGAGUAUUAGAUGGGUGGCAGAUGUUAAGAAUCAAGGGAAGAUUAUCUCAAGGAUAAUGAAGUUUCGGAGAUCAUCUUCAAGUGUUGUGCUGAAAUUCCUAGAUCCUAAGCCAGCUGAUGAUUUUUCAGAUUAUUUAUUUGAUGAUGAGCAAAAGAACUAAAAUUAUGUUUAAAUUAAAAAAAAAAAAAGUGGUUUAAGUGUAUGUUCGAAUUAAAUAGUCUUUUGGAUUUGUAGAAACUGAAAGGAGUACAGUGCCAGUCACUGUGGCAGCCUUAUGUUUUGUUUGAAAAAAUUCGGAAGCUUCUAAAUUGUUAUAUACCUCAAUUCUGAAGUCGUUAGUAUGUAUAUUAUAAGCAAUACAUAUGUUCCAUUUGUCAUAUUUUAUUUUGGCAUUACGAUUGUUUUGUCUUGAUUAAUAUUGAUUAUAAUUUGUUUAACAUUUAUCUGGCAUAUGUAGAAUUAUACUUUAUCUGAGUAGAUGACGCUGCUGCGUACAUCUUCAGGACUCGGUCAUAAACUGUUUAUCUCUGCGUCUGUCUAGCAUCCAUCCACGUAUGACCUGUCGGCUUUUUGCCCGCAAGCAUACAGUUAGGGGUGGUAAAAAUAUCUGUCCGGUCUGGAUUCGGUUCGCACCCGGAUGUUUUAUCCGGCCCGGUCUUGGGCAUCAUUUGAUAAAUUCGGAACCCGAGUUUUAUUAAGCGCCUUGGCCGUACAGCAGUAUAUUAUUUUAAAUAUUUAUAUUUAUUUGACUCAUUUAUUACAUAUAUAUAAAGUUUUAGACACUUAAAGUUUAUAUUUUCAUGUCAAAUUUCAUUAAAAUAAAUUUAAAACUUAUAAAAUUACCAAAAAAUAAAAAAUAUAUACAUAUAUAAUAUUAAAAAAUAUAAAAUCUGGGUACCCAAAUUAAAACCCGGCACAAUCCGACCCAGGCAUCUAUGCAUCCGGGUCGGGUCCGGUCAUUACGAUACCCCGACCCAGCCCAGGGUUUUGCCAUCCCUACAUGCAGUGUAUAUGAAUUGCAGUUCUUGUACGGACAACAUGUCAUCCAUAAAACUCGAGUUAUGUUCUUUUUAAUCUUUAGUUUAGAUUACAUUUUGCAAAACUAAUAAACGAUAGAGCUCCUAGCAAGGUCAAUAGUUAACUGCGAAUCCAGAAGAUCGGAAUGCUAUACCUUUCAAACAUGCAUUUCAAAGCCAUCUGCGGAAAUGGAAAACAAGCAUUUCAAACUCGUUGUUAAAACAAUGAUAAAAGUAAUUUUAAUCCUAAUUUUUAAUUCCAGGCAUGAAGCUAACUCAUAUACAAAGAGAUAUCAAGUAAGCAGAGGCGAAAGCUAAAAGCUUUGGUUACAGGGGUCGGUGUGAAUAAUGUAUAUAUCGUUUAGACAUAUUUUUGAAUAUCUAUUUUAAUUUAGGGGAUAUUAUAUAUAUUUAAAAAAAAUUAAAAUUUUUACGGGAGCCAUGGCUUACUAUAGUCUCCAUUAAGAUUCACCCUCCCUACUUUUCGUACUUCAUUAAAGUAUAGGAUAAAUAUUUACAAUAUUAUAAAUAGAUUUUAUAAAAGCAGUCCAUAUAUGAAAGUCCUUCUGCACUCUGAAUUAAAUAAAAAUAACGUGAGACUAACAAUUUAAGAGUCUUUUUUGCAACGUAUAUCGUGCAGUGAUGUACUCUAUCGACGGAGGACUCUCUUCAUAUGCUUUUUAUUUUUCCAUGCCUGAUUAUAAAUAGGAUCACUCUAUGUUACAUUAAACGUAACGUACACACACUCACAACAACAGUAACAAGUCCCAUCAUUAGAACUGUUGCUGUGAGUGCGUGUAUGUUACGUUUAACGUAACAUAUCACUAGCCUUAUAAAUAACAUCACUUUUAAGGAUUUUUACAAAUUUUUAUUACAACCGUAACUUUUGUCCUCAUACAAUAACGGUGUCCAUUGUCCACAUAUAAAAAGUUCAUCAAUAAACAUAUAACCUAAUUAAAAUUCGUGACAAAAUCCAAAGGAAAGAAAGCGUGGAGUAAUAUAUAUAACAAAGGCAUUGAGCAUACACCAGGUGUAAUUUGCAUUGCAUGGCCACCCUUACGUGGCAGUUCCGCCGAUUAACACAUCUUUAAAAGUUAAAGCCCCCCUCUCUCCUUGUUAAGGGCGUUUCAACACAACACUCAUCAAUGCAAGCAAAGAGACAGUGAAGGAAAAAUUAAGAAACCAAUAUUGUCACUUGGAAGAAAGAAACAAUCAUUACAUAUAUAAUACGAUGGAUACUAAGAACAACAGGAAGCAUUUGUCCUGCAUUGCCAACGACGUCGUUCACAGAUGUGCACUGUACGUAUCUCUCUCUCUCUCUCUCUCUCCUUUUCUUUUUCUCCCCGAUCACUUUGUUUUCUUUAUAUAUACGAAUGUAUGUAGAACGUAGUAGGUUUUGUAUAAAUAUCUGUUGCACACAUUAUUUGAUGUGCAUUUAAAUAUAAUUAAUGGUAAUUGAGAUGACACACAAAGACAAUGCAAAAAAAGAAAAAAAAAGAGAGAGUAAAUUAAUGAAUUUGCCUUGAUCCAGUUAAUUUGUGUGCAUUUAGCUGACUGUAAGGUGGUUUCGAGUGUGUUUUUGUUUGGCAACUUUUCACACAAAAGCACUUUUGGGAAGCACUUUAUGUAAUGUAAGUGCCUCUAAAAACUGUUUUAUGUAUUACUGCCAAAUGCAGUGCAGAGGUUACAAUGGGAGGGUCGGUUUUAUACCUGUUCUUCGAGACUUAAUUUCAAUAGGAGAUUGAAAUAUUUAUGAGAAUUAUGUUGUUAGCAGACUUAAUUCUUUUGGAGGAAUUCAUUCCAUCGUAGACCACUCAAUGAAUUUGGUCGAUUGAGAUUAUUUGAGUGCAUGCUUCAAAACUGGAGCAUUAAUUCUUUGACAUAAAUGGGCUUUAACAUAAGGCGCGUUCGCUUAUUCCAUUUAUUCAAGAAGUUGGCACUCAAUUUUUUAUUACUAGCCUUUAGAUGGCCAGCAGCCUUUUGUAGCCCUUUCUAGUUUCUACUAAAGUGGUUAUGUGCAAUAGUUCUAUUCUGGGUUGCAAAAUUAUUGUGUCAGUAGAAUCCACAUACAUUAUGUACUUUUCUGUAUUUAAUUUCAAGAGGCUUAGUUAUAUCAUAGUUUUAGGAUUAUAAUAAGUCUGUCCGUUACCAUGUUAUUGGAAUUUUUUUUUUUUUCUAAAUUAGUUGGACACAUUAUUGGAUUGGUCAAUAAAGGAAAGCAUUUGGCAAGUACUUGGUUUGAUAUUAACAUAUAGUUGCAGUAAAGCACAUUAACUUGUGCAUCCUGAAAUUCUUGCAGGCAAGUAAAGGCUUCUGAGGAUUCAUUGGUGGAGGGGUUUGAAGCUGAAUGGAAGCCUGAAAUCGGACAGUAUUCGAAGAAAUUUGUGGAAUAUUGCAGCAUAAAGGCUCUUACUAACAUGUGCCAGAGCAUAGAAGAAAAGAUUAGUGAUGGAUCAUUUAGUCGACUCACAUUUGAUAUGAUGCUUGCCUGGGAAAUGCCUAGUGCCGCCGAUGAGGAGUCUCAUACUGUAAGCAAUCAUCAUAAUACUCAUAUCCUAUAUUUAUUUCAUGGUCCACCAAAUCAUUAUGAUAUUAUCCCAAUUUUGGUGUGCCUAUCUUCUCUUCAAGUUGCUUCUUCUAUUUCUUUUUCAUUAUACAUUCUCUGGUUCUCAUCAGUUUUCGCUCCAAUUAAAAGAAGCAUGAAUUCUUUCACUUAUCUGCUGAAUCUGUUCUAAUGAUUGGGCAAUAGAUUUUUAUUCCUCUCUGUGGUUACUACUAUUUUGAUCUUGUGCAGGAGUGCAUGGGAAAGGAGAAUGAGGAUAGAAAGGCUGUAAAAGUCACUUCAGAUCAUGAUGAAAUUCCUCUCUUCUAUACAGACAUCAUGCCUCUUCUAGUAAGAGCGUCUCUUUCUGAUCAUUUGAGUGCUAAUGUACCGACCAAGCAUUAGCCUUCACUGAAACUCGUAUAUGAUUUCAUGAACAUUGAUUAAUUGUUAUUUUUGCUAACUACUCUAUGAGAUCUGAUCAAAUUAGAUAUAUAAAUGUUGCGAUUGAUCUUGGAUUUGCUUUAUAUUUGGCCAUCAAUUAUAUUUUACUCUUCAUUUUUAUAUUUGUUUGGUUUGAUAAUUUACCCUCUGGCCCAUAUAUAUGAUGGUAGGUUAAUAAUGAACCGAGUGUUGGAGAAGAUGCAUUUGUAUGGAUGGGAUCCUUAGUUCCUCUAGUUUCAGAUGUUAUUAAUGGGAGAUUUACAUAUGAAAUUCUGACAGCGCCAACAGGAAACCGGCUCCAUUCUCCAGCAUAUGAUAUAUUUCUAAAGGAGAUGGACAAGUAAUUCUUCCAAUUCUUCCAUGCAGCAAUUUUACCACUCAGAAACUUUAAGUGCCGUUUGGUUUUGUGACAUGCAAAUUAUCAUGGAACACUCAAAAUGAGUUGUUCUUAACAAUUUCUAGAAUUUGCAAACUCACUAACCAUAUCUGAAAAUGCAGAAGCAUUAUUACCACUUAUUGAUAACAAUAUCUCUGCUCGACUUGUUUGGGUGCUUUCAGCCGUUUUUCAUUUUCUUUUGGAAAUCUUGAUUUCAUAGAUGCAUAAAACAUUUGCAAAAACAAGCAACUCCAAAGGGUGUUGAGCUGGCUGACGAUGAAUUUAUACUGCAUGUGGAGGGAACUGCAAGCACACAGAGAGUAGUGCGCCAUAUUGGGAAAACAAGUUGGCCUGGUAUGUCUUUAGUUUGAUGUCUUACAUCUUUUUAACUGCUGUAGAAAUUGUUACUUGGAUUUUACUAAUCAUAAUUGUUGUCUCUAGGUAGGCUCACACUGACAAAUUAUGCGCUCUACUUCGAGGCUUCGGGAGUAAUAACAUAUGAAGAUGCUCUAAAGAUUGACCUCUCAAAAGAUGCUGAACUAUCUGUUAAACCAACUGCCACAGGUCCAUGGGGUGCUCCGCUUUUUGACAAGGCAAUUGUAGUCGAGUCCCCUGAACAGUAAGCAUAGUUGCACUUAUAUGAAAUUACUGGAGCUAUUAGCAUCGUUAUUCUUAUUUUAAAAAUUGUUAAAUGCUUGGUAGUUAUCCCAUAAGCUAGAUUUUAAAUGCAUAACAUACAAGGCAGACAUCAGAAAGCAUUCUGAUUCGUUUAUUAAAGUUUGUCUUUUAUUAAGCUAAAGAUAUUAAUGCUGCUAGAUUUUUCUAAUUUGGUUGUAGAUAUUGGUUAGUUACACUGUCAAAUGAGCAAAUCUCGUGGAUAUUUCAUAGUGUGGUUAUGCAAUUGUUUUUUGCCCUUCACUUUUCUAGAUCUGAGGGAAUUGUCCUGGAGUUUCCAGAGAUAACUAGCUCGACAAGGCGUGAUCAUUGGCUGGCCCUCACAAAGGAGAUAAUGUUAAUGCACAAAUUCCUGUCAAAAUUCAAGGUGGAAUGUCCAAUACAAGCAUGGGAGAUGAAUGCAAGGACAAUACUUUGCAUCAUAAGACUCCAUGCAGCAAGAGAAAUGCUGAGGAUAUUGCCUCCAGAUCCCACAAAAUUCUUGAUUUUUGCUUUGUAUGAUGAGUUGCCAAAGGGAGACUACGUGCUAGAAGAGCUUGCUGAGAGUCUGAAGAAAGUUAAUUGUGGACAUCCUUCCAGUGCUAGCUCAAUUCUGAGAUGUAUGAACCUGUCAAUUGCCGCAAGUGGAGAAGUAAAAGAAGGAAAAGAACUGGAGGAACAUAAACAUAUAAGUGAUGAAAGCUGUUCAUCACUGGAAACUGCCAUCAAUCAAUCUAAAGAGCAAGCAAAGGCAAUUGAAAUUGCUAAGUCUACCACUGAGGGCCUGAAAGAUGAAGGGAUCAGUGAUAGUAUCCUUGUUCUCUUGGUAUGUUUUUACUUCCAAAUUGUUGUUUAUGCUGCUGAUUUUAUAUUGACAGAAUAAGUAAUGACAUCUCAACAAAUCAUGGUAUUGAGAGCUUGUUUGACAUUUAUCAAACACAGCAAAGAAAUUGAAUUUUAUGAAAUUCCUAUAGCACCCUAUAAUUUGUACCAAAAAAUCUCUGCACCUUUGGCAUGCUGUAUGGUAUGGAAGUAUAGCUGUCUCAGAGAGGUUACUGUUAUUUACUUUAUUUGGUUUUGUAGUAUUGAUGUUAAGUUUGAUUUAAUAAUGUAGGAGCUACUAAAGCCACUUAAAAGUGUUUUACCCUGGAUUCGAGAAGUUGUUUCAUGGGAAAAACCAGCAACCACCCUCACUGUGAUUGCAACAACUCUACUAAUAGUGUACAAGUAAGUCAGUGCUCCCUCGUAAUUUUCUUAUAUACGGAAAUUUUUUUGAAAGUGCAUGUUGAUCAAGAACCACUUCAUUACUUGGCCUAUUAAUGUGUAAACUUUGCAAAUGACUAGUAAACUAUAUAAUGGCAAUGUAGGGAGUGGGUAGGCCAGGCUAUAGCUGCUUGUUUGCUCACCAUCGUGGUGAAGAUGCUUCAGGCAAGAAAAAAAAGGUUGACAGACAAAUGCAAUGAGAUAGUAGUAUGCACUGCUUCAGAUCAGAGCACCGUGGAGAGCAUUGUGUCGGCUCAAUACAGUUUGAUAACUAUUCAUGAGAUGUUGCAGGCAGCAAACAUUAUGAUUUUGAAGAUAUGGUCGAUAUUAAUUUCAAAGGCCCGCAAGGUACUCAUUUUGAUAACCUAUGCUUUCAGCUUAGCAAUUAAAUAUCGUUUUCAAUCAAUAUUGCUUAUUCGUCGUUAGCUGAAGUUCGUUUACCUACUACAUUUGUUGGAUGUCUUCAAUUAUUGAGGAGUCUUAGUUGCAUUUCCAAAUUGUUCUAAAUCCUCGUUUCAUUUAAUGGGUUGCAGCAUGCGGACACGGUUAUGGUGGCAUUGACUGGGUUAGCAAUAGUAUUAGCAGUUGUUCCAUUCAAGUAUAUUGUCAUGGGAGGUGUGCUGUACGGCUUCAUUAUGAACUCGAAGCCAAUGAAGUACCUGGGAAACAACUCAAACGACCAAAGCGGCAACAGACGUCUAAAAGAAUGGUGGGAGUCAAUCCCUAUUAUUCCUGUUCGCGUCGUGGACAAGCUUCCUGAGUGCCCAAAAUAAUGUGUCGGCUCCUGCACAAUCACAGUUGCCUAAAUCCUCUGUUUCUGAACUUUUGUUAUCAACUUACUGCACGAUAUACACUUCUGAGUUUGCUUUUGCCAUCAGAGUAGAACUGUAUCUGAAACACAGCAUACACUUAAAUGCUCAUUACAAAUUUGGAGAAAAGCACAAGUAGAAAAGGAUUGAAGACAUUCAGUAACGUUGAAAUUCUGCAUUUUCUUUAAUUUUUGUUAUGAACAAGUUUCUUAAUUAUUUGUUCUCUUGAUGUAAAAUAGCAUAUUGCUGGGAGUAAUGAAGAUGUGACUGUGCUUUUCCUAUUAGCAUGUUAAUAAAAGCAAAAUGGAAAAUUAUUAGUUACGUCCUCUCGUUUUGCGGCUUAUUGAGCUAACAAGUAACUUCUUCAUUACUAGCGUGCAAGUUUGCAACUAGUGAAUCUCAAAUAUAACUCUACCCAAUGGAUGGAUGUACGAUGGAUGUACCUACCCAAUCAUUUAUUUCUCAUUAAAUCUGUUAAAACAGAAAAAGUCCCGACGUCAUAUUCUUCGCGCCUUUUAAAAAACGACACGUGUCGUAUCCCACUACUCGCGUGCUGGAAACUUUAACCCACUCUGACUGCGUGACAGCAGAUCAUUCCCAAUUCAUUUCAGUUUCACUGUCACUUUCACUCCUCCUCAGGCGCCUUCCGACAAACAGGAAGAAUGCAAACUUGAAAACCCCCAAAAACCCUAACGUUCCCCCGGAGACCCUAACCCACCAUAAACCCUGGCUCUUAAUCCUAGCCACUAUGAGCGACCAAGACGAGCAAUCGCGAGCUCAGAAAGCCGCCCAGUUAACAAGUCCGCUCUCAUCCUCUCUCUCGAACCUUUCUUCUUCUUCAAGAAGCAUCCCCUCUAAUCAAGAUUUCCAUUUCUUCUACAAUUUCCCUGAAUUCAAUCAACCCGUCCAAGAAAUCGCGAACCAAUCGCAGCUCCUCCUACAAUCCAUCGGCUCAUCGGAGAUUUUUAACCAACCGAUCAAUUUUCCUGAUGAGGUUGACAUCUCGGACGCCUACGACUGGCUUGUCGACGUAAACGACAACGUUUUCGAGCGUAUGGAUGUUUCUUUCGACGAAUUUAGUAAAGUAAGAGGGGAAAAUGGGGAAGGAGAUGGAAAUGAAGGUGGCUUUCAGUUGGUUUAUGGGAAGAACAAGAAGAAGGGCGACAUUGUGGGUGGCUCUGCCCCGGCCAGUGUGAAAGUGAAGGACAGGAAAGAGAAAAGCAAGGUGCCGUUUCAUAUAUCGACUAUAACAAAACCGCAAGAGGAGUACAAGAUAGUUGUGAACAAUGCGAACCAGCCGUUUCAGCAUGUUUGGUUGCAGAAGAUUGAGGACAGUGGACGGUUUAUCCAUCCUCUUGUAAGUUUGUUAUUUUUUGAAUAUUUUGAUAUUGGAUUUGACUUACUGGGUUUGUUAAAUUUGUAAUCUGAAAAUAGUACCUUUCUUAGGGACUUUUUAGUGAUCAAUUAUUUCUUUCAUUUUCUUUUUGGGUGGUUUGUGGUAUAUGUUUACGCUUAUCUUGUUUGGAAUUUGUGUGCAAUUCUUAUUAUUCAUGCGAGAAUUUUAACACUAUCAUGUGGUUCAUGCUUGCCAAAAAUAUACCAAAACACUUUUGCUUAUUGCUAUUGCUUUAUUUGUACAGGACAAUCUUUCUGUUUUGGAUUUUGUUGAUAAAGAUAUAGGGGAUGUGGAACCUGUAAAACCUCCCUCGUUGGAGCAGACACCAUUCAAGCUUGUGGAAGAAGUUAAAGAUUUAAAGGAGCUAGCUGCUAAAUUGAAGAGCGUAGAUGAGUUUGCGGUAAAGUCUGACUUCUGUGAUUAUGUUUUAUUGAUAAAUAAUGCCGUGGUUCAGCCUUACUGCAGUAGUUUCUUUUUUUCAGCCUUUUGAUUUCUCUUUUCUGAUGGGGCAUUUCAUAUACAGAACUGAACACUGUCCUAUGUAGAGGAUAUAGUGUAGUUAAGGCACAUGUCACCGAUGUCAGCUACUUCAAAAUUAUAUAGUGCUGGAUGUGGUUUAAGCCAAUAAGACAAGAAAGGGGUGUGGCCGCCUAUGAAGAUACAUACAAAUAUGUUAAUAUUCGAAACAUAUACAAAGAAAUGUGCCUGUAAUAGUUUUCCUGUCUACGUAAAGUAGUAAACCAGCUGUCUAUUUAAUCUUGAUACAAGUUUUGCAUGUUUAAAAAAUUAUCUUUCAUCUUUAACAGUGAGUCCAUUUUUAGCUGUAAUCCUUUUCUCAAGCAUGACUUGGUUUUGCUUUCGUUUUCAUCUCAACAGUAAACCUGUUUGCAACUAGAAAACAUUGUAAUUUUUUUGUAACUUUUCUCUAGGUCGACUUGGAACAUAAUCAAUAUCGAUCUUUCCUAGGAUUGACUUGCCUGAUGCAAAUUUCCACCAGAACCGAAGAUUUUGUGGUAGAUACGUUAAAGCUUCGCGUUCAAGUUGGGCCAUAUCUUAGGGAAGUUUUUAAAGAUCCUACCAAGAAAAAGGUUGGUCCCUUCAACAUGCUCUCGCGUAGCUUUGUGAUAAAUCUUAUUUUUUCCCCCCCAAAUUAUGUUAACUUUUACUUUACUAGGUGAUGCAUGGAGCAGAUCGAGAUAUUGUGUGGCUUCAACGGGACUUUGGCAUAUAUUUGUGCAAUAUGUUUGACACAGGACAGGUUUUAUCCCUUGAAACUCUCUUUGAAAUUUGAGACUUUAUUGAUGAUCUUGUCUGGUUUUUUGUACAAUGGUUAAAUUUAUCUUAUCUUAUCUGCUUUUUUGUGGUCUAAUUUAUGAGUGUUGAUGCAAGCCUUUAUUCUACUAAAUUAGUUAAAUUGAGUUAUCUUUUGAUACUGUAUUUUCAAUUUUGUAAUUCAUCUUAUGUGUUUGAGUCAAGGUUUGGCUUCAAAAAGCCUUGUCAGUUACAUGUCAUCUCUCCCUUAAUUUUUUCAAAGUAGCUUCGCUUGUCAUUUGAACUAUUUGUAUCAUUAUUUUCAAUUUUGAUGUGGAACUUCCCCCAUUUAUUAAUGUUCUUUUGGUUGUUUUUGUGUAAUGCUCUUUUGUAAAUUUUACCGUGGCAUUUAUUUUGUUUUGCAUUUCAAAUAAUAGUGAGAAUUGCUUUUUUCAGUCCUAAGUUUAUUGGUUUAUUGUAAAUAUACUGUAUAUUUAUUUUGGUUUGCAUUGGGAGAUGAUCGUGGGAAUUUGUUUCUGUCUUUUCAUAAGGCCUCAAGAGUCUUGAAAUUGGAGAGAAAUAGUUUGGAGUAUCUUCUACAUCACUUUUGUGGAGUUAAUGCCAACAAAGAGUGAGUCCUUUUGUAAAGUACCUGAUCUGUUUCUCCUUAUAGUUUCCGCCCUUCAUCAUCCUAAGUCAACUCAUUGCAGAUACCAGAACGCAGAUUGGAGAGUACGUCCUCUUCCCGACGAGAUGCUGAGGUACCUUUGGUUCUCUUUUUAUCUUCUUUGUAACCUACUUUUCUAAUGAGUUCUCCAAAAAAAAAAAAAUUAUGAUCUGUUUGGCAUGAAAAUAAUUACUACUAUUUUAAAGUUCUUGUAUUCUUUGGAAAAGCAGAAAUCAUAUAUCAUCAUUUAAGUGUUUGGGGUUUCAUCUUUGCCUGUAUUUUUGUAGAAACUAAUAAUAUUUUUUUUUCUGUGGCUUAGGAUUUGAAUUGUGGGAAUAUCUAUGUUGGAAAUUAAUAAUGAGUGCACAUUGACUCUUGAUAGUGGACAAAUAUUUGGACAGCCAGGAAGGGGAAGGCCAACAAAAGUUUUGGGUUUUUAUAAGUUGAAGUUAUGAAUGGUUUUAUAAUUAAUUAGGUAUAGGUUUCCUCAUUUGGGUAUUUCUGGGAGAUCUGGGUUAUAAGAUUGAGAUAUUCCAGCCUGUAUAGAUAAUUGUAGGGUUGCCUGUGUUUGUGAUAUUCCAGCGCGUUUAUUAUUACUACUUCUUAUAUAUAUAAAAUUUUAGACUCUUUCCAUGUCUAACAAGAAGUUUUCAUGAUAUCACUUGGAUCCUACUCAUGCAGACUUGUAAGGCAUCCUUAGGUGCGGUUAUGUGAUCUGGUUUUUAUAAAUAUUUUUAAAUUUUUUGUCAGAGACAAUGCCUGUAGUGACAAUGUACUGACUUAUCUUUUGGUUAUUACCAAGCUGAAUCAGGUUGCCUGUGGUUUAUGACCAUACCAUUUGGUCUUAUAAAAUGUUCUUCCCUUCACCUCAUGUUCUCAUACUUUAAAGCAUGAAUAAUAUCUAAGGGCCUGAGAUUAUUUCAUUAAUUUUUCCCAAGUCUAGAUCCUUCCCAGAGAAAUGGAUGGAUUACCCACACACUCACCAGUAACAUGUCGUACUUUAUGACGGUUUUGCAUUACUGCUGUAUGUCAUUUAAUUUGCCCUUUUGAGGAUUCUUUAUUUUCUCUGGGCUGAUGUUACUUUGUGGUGCUUUUUUUUCCUAUUUAGUCAAAAUAUAUAUUCAUCAUAGAGUUUCUCUGUUAGAAUUUUCUUAGCUUUGAGGAUUCGUUAGUGGCAUAUCAUCCAAUUGAUUAUACUUGUGAUGACAGAUACGCUAGAGAAGAUACACACUAUCUGUUGUAUAUAUAUGAUAUAAUGAAAAUCAAGUUGUCCUCAAUGCCCAAGGAGUCUGAGAAUUCUGAUACUCCCCUGACAGAGGUAUGAUUUUUGCUUAACUGUUGGUGUUGUUUUGUAAAACUGUUGGGCAUCUCUAUGAUUAUAGAGAAUCCAUUUUUAAAUGCUUUUUUCAGAUCUUGUUGUGCCAUGUAUGACAGACCAUUGCGUCUGGAGAUUGGCAUGGAGCUUAAUAAUUACAAUGUUAAAAAUAGAACAUAAAAUAUUGGGAAGUAUCUAUCAUGACUAAUUCUUCAACUGUUUAAGGAAGAUAGUUUAAAUCCGAAUAUCCUUUUUUGGAUUGUGGACUAAAGAAAAUUGUCAACUCUUGAUUUCUCUUCCCAAGGAUGAAGACGUAUCAGUCUGUUGGCAAACACAUUUUUUGAAUUUUACUUUAGUUAUCUAUAAUUUUACCAUAUUGAGCAAACAUUUUGUUGCAAACAGGUCUACAAGCGCAGUUAUGACGUAUGCAGGCAGCUGUAUGAGAAGGAGCUUCUGUCAGAAAAUUCUUAUCUCCACAUUUAUGGGUUUGUCUUUGUCCCUAUUCAUCUCAGUUUAAGUUUUCAUUUAGUGGCCUCGCCUGUUUAAAAUCUUCUCUCAUACAGUUUUUGUUUGUUUCAUUCUUUACUUAGCAUUACUUCUCUUGUUUAAUUUUAGUUCUAUUUUGGACUUCGUAUUUAUGUGAUUUGACAGAACUUAAUCAGUGGAGCUUAUUUCUCUAUGUUGAAAUAGGUUGCAGGGGGCUGGUCUCAAUGCUCAGCAGCUUGCUGUUGUUGCGGUAUGUCAGUUCUUCAUGUGUUUUUCAAACUUUGCCACUUUUCUAUCUGGAUAUUAUAUGCAUGAGGAUGCUACUGAAAAUGUAUUAUCCGCAUGUUUUGUUUACUAGUUGCAUCUUCAAAUGAAACAAAGUCUUGACCCAGAAGAAUCCGUAACGCACCAAUAGUCACUAAUAGGAUUGUCUUGAGAAAUUUACUUCUAAAUUUUUGAGUGGAUGAUAGAAGGGUGGAUUUUAAGUAGCUGACACAUCAUUGCCAACUGCUGAUAGAGUCUGUUGCAUACUUGAGUAUUCUUGCUAGUUCUGGCCCCAUUGAUCCCACUUCAAUGAUUUGCAGGGUCUUUGUGAAUGGCGAGAUGUUAUUGCUCGUGCAGAUGAUGAAAGUACUGGCUAUGUAUUGCCAAACAGAACUCUGAUUGAAAUUGGUAGAAACCUGUCUGAAUUUCCUCCAACUCUCUCUUCUAUAUGUAUAUAAUCCAUUUGGUGAGUUAUGAGUUAAUCAUAUUUUCCUUUUGUGGUAAAAGCCAAACAGUUGCCUACUACUGCUGCCAAGUUACGUCGAUUGUUGAAAUCAAAGCACUCAUAUAUUGAACGCUAUAUGGGUCCGGUACUUAGCAUCAUAAAAAAUUCUAUGCAAAAUGCUGCUAAUUUUGAAGUCAUUGCUCAAAAAUUGAAAGAGGAACGUAUGGAAGUGGUAAGACCUGCAUGCUCAUGUUUGAUUGUUUUGUUAUAUCAGUGAUCCAAAUUGAUUAUUUUUCUUUGAGAAUUUGAUGUUAAUGCCUUCAAUGGAUUGCCAACAUACAUUGAUUUUCUUUUUCUUUUCCUUGGAUUUCGUUAGAAUCAGACCAACCAUCUUUUAAACGAGGAUGAUGGUCCAAAACCUUAAGGUCUACUACGAUGAAUUGCUACUUUUUGUGCAAGUUCUUGUAAUUCACUCAGCUGGUUGUCUUCGGCAAAUGAAAGGAAAAAGGAAAUUCAUCCAAUCCAGUUCUAUUGAAGAAAAAGAAUCCUAGUUGAUCUUACAAAAUUAAGCUUUCAUAAUUUGUUAACCCAUGGAAUGUGAUUAAAACUCAUGGACAAAGGAUGUUCCAGUUGAGAAAGGGAUUUGAGUGAUUUUUAGCAAUUAUCAGUGAUGUCUUCAUUAGAAGUAAGUUUAUGGUUUAUAGCAGUAAAUGCUCAAUAAUUAGGUACUCCUUGUAUAUUGGCUGACCGGGUCCCAUGUUUGUAGUAGGUUUUGUGAGCUACAGAGGAUUAACUUCAGUCAGUUUUCCAUGUUAUGGCUGUUAAGAGCUAUGUCACCAUUUUUCUUUGUUUACAUCAAACUAAUCUUUUUUUUUCCCCCCAUUUUUCCUUAUUUGUGUAGGCAUCAGAAGAAACUGAAGUUUUAGUUCUUGAUACUUCCUCAAACUUGAAAAUUCCGAAUGUUGGAAGGGAGAGUGUUGAUGGUGUUGAUGCAUUAGUUGGUACCACGAUGCCUCACCCACCAGCUUACACCCAGCUGAAACAAGAGCCUCCAAAGGUUGGAAGCAGUGUCGCAGAACUUGACAGAAAUGGACUAGGGUCUUUUGCGCAUCCUGGAGAAGCAAUUGCUUCAGAAAAUAAAGAAGCUACUCAUAUUUCAACACUUUCCAGCUCUGGUCAAAGUAGAGACUUGAAUGCUUGCAAGUCACCUUCACCAAGGGUUGUGAAUUUGAUGCCUUAAUGUGGAUUUUUUUUUUUUUUGGUUAAGAGGUUUAGCAUUCAAUUUCUUUUUCUUUGGUUGUGAAUUUGAUGCCUUAAUGUGGAUUGGAUUUUUUUUUUUUUUGGUUAAGAGGUUUAGCAUUCAAUUUCUUUUUCUUUAUAGGUUACUGAAGCUGCUGUUCAGGCUCUAAAGAAGCCGAACCGUGGUUUUGGAGCACUGCUGGGUAACCCAAAGAGAAAGUUUGAUGGCGAGAAAAAGGUGAGUUAAUCAUUUGCUAGUAAUGGUUGUUAAACAUCUGCUAUGUCAUUGUCACAUAGCAAAAUAACUAUUUCUGAGGCCUGCCAGUCACCCAGUUUGUGCAUGUGUGGUUGGGAAGAAGGCAACAAAGGAAGAAUAUAGUUAAACAUUUGCUAUGUUAUUCUUACAUAGCAAAAUAACUACUACUGAGGCCUGCCAGUCAGCCAGUCUCUGCAUGUUGGUUGCAAAGAAGGCAACAAAAGAAGAAUGUUUUUUUUUUUUGAAUCUUCAUUCCAUGAUUCACUUUCUUUUCAAUUUUUCUUGUCAACUAGCAUGUACAUUUGCCUUCUUGUUGCCUUUUUCGUUGCGUGAGUCAUUAUGAAUUAUGAUUUAUAUUAUACGGAAAUUGUGAGUGGGCAACUGUUGGGCUAUAAUCAAACAUGCAAAAUUUCGGGUCCCAUGACUAAGCGCUGCUAUCAUCUGGAUUUGUGUGUUGUUGCAUUUUAUAUUUGGUUAACACCCUUCUUAUUAUCCUCCUUUUGAUUGUUUGUUUGUCUUAAUUAGGACAAGGAAGCUAUGAAACUAGAGCAGAUUAAAUCCUCAGUCAAUCUUCCAUUCCACUCAAUUUUUGCAAGAGAUGAACAGUUAAAACCAGUUGAUGUGAUGAAGUCUGAACCAAAUAAGCCUGACAUUCCAUUUCCUUCAUCUUUUGGUAGUGGGCAACAAACGAAACCAAUCAUAGAGGAAUCCAAUAGAGUUACAGUAGUUUCCCAAUCAGAAGAACCCGCUCCGGCUGCUAGGUCUGAUACAGAAGAUAUUAUUACGUUGGAAGAUGAUAUAGAUGAAGAGGAACAAAACCUUGGUAAUUUGGAAACUGCAAGUGCGCCCGGAGAGGACGGUUCUGCAGGGUCUGCUUUGGAAAUGGGUAAACAAGAUGAGACCAUGUCUCUCUCUGAUUUAUCAACUAGUUUCCAGGAGUGCUUCCACUCUGCUAACAACAAUAGAAAACCUGGAAAGCCUGAGAGAUCUGAAGAACCUAGUGGUUUUUUGCAGCUUAAGCCGUUUGACUUCGAAGCAGCUAGGAAACAGAUCGAGUUUGGAGAAGAUGCCAAAGAAAAAUCAGCUGGGGUUGAUGGAAACAAAAGAAAACCAGUGAACUCUGGAGAUAAGAAAAAAGUUUCAGCUGUAGAUCAAGCUCAAAAAGAUGAUGGAACAAAAGAACUGUCACAAGGUAGACGACGUUCUGCUUUUCCUGCAACUGGAAAUCGAAGUGCAACAUUUCGCUGAGUCUCUGGUAUCAAUCAUGCUGCUCUGUGUAGCAGAAAUUAGUUGAAUUUUGGAUUUUCACAAUCAUGUUCUUGAUUUAAAUGGAAAUUAAUGCUGGUGGACAAAUUCGCAAUGGUUGUACGUAUAUUUCCAUUGCUUGAGGUCUUGUCUGAUACAGCAUGAGCUAACCUGAUCAUCUUUUGAUAUUCAGUAACAGGAGAGAUGUAUGGUCUGCAGGAGCCAAUGAUGGGCAAGUGAUACCUGAGGCCGGUGUCUAUUUGAAGGUAAAAUGGGCGAUGGUUCUAGGUUUCAUAUUAGGUUUUUGAUAGUCUUGAGUAAUUGCCCUACUAUCUUCAUAUUUAAAAAACAGGAUGGUUUCAAACCAAAGUGCGGUUUGUAAUCAAAAGCAUUUGAUCUUUUUGUUUUUGUAACUUUACGGGUUUUAUUUUUAGAAAAAUGGUUCUGUACUAUGGUUUAUUUCUGCCUUAUUUGAUAUUGUGGUCAUCUUAGGCUUUAUUUAGUGUAAUUUUUCAGUUAUAUGUUCGUUUGGGAAGAGGAAAUGAAGUUAAUUUUAUUUCACACUUGCAUAAGAAAAAAUUGUAAUGUUUAUAUUAUUUUUGUUAAAAUUAUUAUUUAAAAAUUAUAUUUGAUAUCUAUUAAUAAUUUUUAUUAUAAUUAUAAUUUUCUUUUUCCUCCAUCAUCUCAAUUGCUUAUAACUGCUGUUGAGGAUGGUUGGUGCGAUGUUAAUAAUUUGUAAAGGGCUUAGUAACAUCUGGUUCCGUGAUGUCGGCCAAACCAUAUCGAAGGGCUUAAUUUGACGGUCAUCGGGGCCUCCUGCCCAGCUGCCCUCCUUUACGGAUUCCGCUUCCGCAAAUUAUUUUAUAUAAACUGUUGUUACAUGAUAGUGGUGGCCGGAUGAAAAUACUACAUGACCAUAUAAUGCUUUCGGUGCAAUGAGUGAAAAAGAGAAAUUUUUAUGUAUUCUCGGAUUGAAGGAGAAAUUUUAAGAUUAAGAUUGUGGAGUGGUAGCAGGAGUAAAUUAUUUACUUACAUCACUAUGAGAGUGUGGAACGAAAAUUAGAAAUUAUGUAUUUUCUUUGUCUUAGAUUGAGAGUGAAUCAUUUUAAAUUAUAAUUUUAUCCUUAUUUAAAGAAUUGUAGUUUUUAAUUAUAAAGUAAAUAAAAAAAUAUAUUUGCACAAUAAAUUAUUUAUUUUGUUAUUAAUUUUAAUUAUAUAAAUUAAUAAUAAUUAUUAUUAUUCUUAAUCAUGUGAAUCAUGAUUUUUUUGUUAAUUUUNNNNNCGUACAGCAGAAAUAAAUAUGAUAUUUUUAUUUUUAAAUAAAUGUGAUAUUAUUUUUAUUUUUAUCAAUAUAAUUAUAUUAUAUUCAAUAAGGAAAUGAUAAAAAGAAAGAAGUGGGAGUAGAUUUCUACUUUUUAUUCAAAAACAAAAAUGAGACCCACAGAGUAGAAGCCUAACUCUCCUCCUUAGAUGAGUACUAAAACGUUUAAGUAGGAGAAAUUCAUAUUUUUGACUCCCACUCUACAAAGUAAACAUAAUAAUAAUAUCAUAAUAACAUUUGAUAAUUCUAUAUAUUUGUGACGUCAUAUCUCAUCAAUUGAUUAAUAAAAUUAAAUGGUGAUUAUUUAUGAAAGAACAAAAUUAAUUCAUGUGAGUUAUGGUUAAUAAAUAAAUAAAAUAUAAAAUGUUAAAUUUUGACUAUAAACUAAUUUCAAUAUCUAAUAAUUUAAAAGCUCAAUAGAGCUAUGAUAAAAACUAAAGGGAGGAUUCUUAAUCCGAUCCGGGAUCUUAAUCAGUUCAGGACCGAUCCACUUCCAGCUAUUACGCGUCAAACAUCCAUUUGACGAUUGACGUGUCACGCCAUCUCACUGUCCUCACAAGAAAACCCGUUACCUUCAAAAUGCUCCAAACCCAUCAACGCCGAAUUCAAAUCAAGCCCCAAGACCAAAUACAAAGCAAAAACAAAUAAACAAACGUCUGUUCAUUCAGUCUGAAAAAAUCAAAAGAAGUAAAAGGAUUGGCGAUGGCGAUGGCGGUUGAAGGAGGAGGGACAUUAUCGGAGAUAUAUCAAAGUGCGAAGAAGUUGCUGUUGAGAGCGAGAGACGGAGUUGAGAAACUGGAGAGACUGGAGAGCUCGACGUCGACUGGGGGAUACGAUUCGCCGGAGCUCUCCUUCGCUGUCAAGAAAGAUAUUUCUCAGAUCCAGUCACUCUGCGUCGAGAUGGAUCGCCUAUGGCGCUCCAUCGCCGACAAGUCUCAGCGCGAUCUCUGGAAGAGGUACCUAUUCAUUUACUGUUUUGCCACGUGGCACCGAAUCAACCUUGUGUCGUGUCCUAAUUGCUCUACGCCAGUUCGGUUGCAAUUCUGUGCAUGAACCGCAAUUUUUAUACUGAAUAUUACAUUAUUGAUUUUGUCUGAGCGACAAGGCAUGCUUCCACGUUUACUUGUUGCUUAGUUUUAUUGUUUUGCCUUCUAUGUUAACAGUCUAUAUAAGUUUUAUAUGUGUUACAGGCAUGUGUAUAUAUGGAAGUACAUUAAUAGCUGUUCAUGCUGUUGCUUGCUUGAGGUCGUUGGUAUAUUUGCAUUUGGAACUAAAUGUGCUUGGUGUGGGUUCGCUAUGUGUGUGUGUGUGUGUGUGUUUGUUUGCGUUUGAUGUUAAAUGGAAUUACCUUCUAUCGAGUCAGUGCCGCAAUUUGAUUGCUUGGUUUUUCAGAGGUGUGUUUUUAUGUUAUGUCAUGCAGAAAAGUUGAACAAGUAGCAGAAGAGGCUGAAUCAUUGAAAGAGAGUCUCGAUAAGUACUUUUUAAGAAAUCAGAGACGGAUAAAUGAAGCUAGAGAGAGGGCGGAAUUGCUUGGAAGAGCUGUAUGUUUAUUCAGUUUUCGUUAGAAGUUUUGAACGGAUUCUGUAGUGUUUUUCUUGUCUGGAAACGAGAAUUAGCUUUCCAAUCUGAUGAAUUUCUUUUAUGUUAUAGAAUGGAGAGUCGUCUCAUAUUUUGAGAAUUUUUGACGAGGAGGCGCAAGCAAUGCAGUCAGUACGCAAUUCAUCGAGGAUGUUGCAAGAAUCGUUUGCAACUGGGACAGCCAUUCUUGCCAAAUAUGCAGAACAAAGGGAGCAUCUAAAGGUAUUGACACUUAAGCUCCUUGUUUACAUGCACAGUUGCACACUAGAAAUUUUUGCCAAGCUCACUCAAACUGUGUGCAAACAAAGUUCACUAAACAGGGUCAAAUGAGAAAUUUACAUUCUUGUCAUGGUUGUAUUCUUAACAUGAUUAAAUAUUUAAAUGAGAACAAUGUUAGAUCCUCAAAGCAAUUAUCUUUAAUAUUGAUUUAUACUACUGCUAUAGAAAUUAUAAGUGUUUGCAGCACCUGCACAAAUGGCUGCAGAGAAUUUAGUCUGUCUAUGGUAAUAAUUUUAAAAGCUGGUAACUCCAAAUAUUCAACAGUGGCUGACAAAAACAAUCCUCAAGUUUUAAAGUAAAAGCAAACUUUGCUUUGAAAUAAUCAGUGACAACAAUGACGUGAAAGUGUCACCAACUGUUUAUAUAUAAUAUCUCCAAUAUUCCAGAAUUUAGUUUCAUAAUGGCUGGCAAAGACUUGGUUUUUUUAAGGUUUAAAGUAAAAACGAUCUCUGCUUUGAAAUGUUCAGUGGCAACAGUGAUGUAAAAUGAUCAGCAACUGUUCAUAUCUAGUAUCUCCAAUGUUUAGAAUUUUGUUUAAAAGAUCCGUUCCAUCCAUAAAAAAAUUUCAUUCUGAAUAAGCAACUCAAGAUUACACUUCGCAAGAACACACCAUCUACCAUUUCUCACAAAUUUAAAUGUCACAACCUAUGAUCCAUUACCAAUUGUGAGAAACGGCAGAUUAUUUGUUCUAAUGAAGUGUAAUUUGAGUUGCUUAUUUAAAAUGAAAUUCUUUUAUGGGUAGAAGGGAACUUCUAAACGAAGUUCUAGGAAUCAAAUUAGCUGUUUAGAUUUGAAUAGUUGGUGAUGCUUUGAUGUCACUGUUGCCACUGAUUCUUCUCGAAAAGAAACAGAUUUUUAAAUGGUAUUAUAGAGGUCACAGAAAAAAAAUAGUCAUGCUAUCAUUGAUAGCACUUGCCACUGAUGUUGAUAAUGAGUUUAACUGAUUAACUUCCAUCUUUGGUUCAGAAAGCACAAAGGAAAGCUCUGGAUGUUCUCAACACUGUGGGUCUGUCCAAUUCAGUAUUGAGGCUCAUUGAGAGGAGGAACCGUGUCGAUACAUGGAUCAAAUACGUAGGAAUGGUUUCUACAGUGGUCAUCUUAUAUUUCUUCUGGAGGUGGACUAGGUGAUCCGAUCUUCAUACUUAGCCACGCAUAGAUCAUUAAUCCGCAUACUUUGGAAUGAUUAAGUUUUGUUCUUGAUAUUUGCCCCAUAAGAGGGUUAAUGAGGAUGUACAAGGCAUUCUUUGAUGAGAGACUAUCCUCUUAUGAGGAUGUAUAAAGCAUUCUUUGUUAAGAGACUAACUCGUAUAGGACGGACUCCCAAAGAAGGUUCUUUGCAAUUCUUGAACAUUUAGAGCGAAGUUGACGAAACGUGCUAGUUGUUUUUGUAUUUUGGCAAAAGGGGAAUUACAGAGUUCGAAGAUUCUAAGAAAUGCGCCAAUUUUGUUUUGUUGUCAGAACGCAAAAACGGCCUGAUUGUGGACGGUUAAAUCCGGAAUUAUGUAGUGGAUUUGCAGUUAUUGAAGGGCAUGCUUGGGAAAAUAAUAUGGUCAAAUAAAAUCAAGAACAAUUAUAUUGUAUCUGCUGUUUAUGCGUCCGUACUUGAAGGUGUCCACGUGGCUGGUGUGUGUUUGUUAAACCAGUAAAAUUAAGUAGUGCGAAGUUCUGAUCGCCGCUCAUUGAUUGUUUUUUUUUUUAACUUUAAAUAAACUAUGAGAAAAGGCUUUGAAUGAGUCGCAGAUAAAUUAAAGUUUUUUUUUUCUUCUUCUAAAUUUAUAUCCAAUGGUUCGGCACAUGUUAUUUUCUUUAUUUUUAGUGCACACGGUAAACUAUUGAUAGUAUUUGGUGUAAACUCACUUUCAAAUCGAUGCUUCACGAAAAGUCCAAAUGACGCGCUAUGAAAGUAAUAUAGAUAACUAGGAUAAGUGGAAAUGAUAAACGAAUAAAAUGAAGUAAAAAGAAUUUUUCAUUUUUAAGGGUUACAAAAUAAGAAUAGUUAAUUACUUAAUUAGUUGACUUGCUAAAAAUUUUUCAUGCAAACAAAUGGUCUGGACUGGAAUCCGUUUAAAUGGAUAGGAAGAAAAUUAGAGUGUCGUAAAAGUACUGGAGUUUCAAAUCCCCUCACGUAGUCACAAGGAUUAGAAGAAAAUUGAAUUGUUAGGCAAAAUGAAAAAAAAGAAAAAAGCUUAACAUUUUUAUUUUCUAAAAAAAUGUUUUUCUUAGUUGUUUUGUUUUUU
rnacentral:lncRNA from 1 species